rnacentral:rRNA from 1 species
AUGAAGCUCAUCGGAUGGAACUGCUGGGGGCUCAGGAACGGCCCGGCAGUUCAUAGCCUCCUCGAGCUAGGGAGGAUGGAGGAUCUCGACGUGCUAUUCUUGGCGGAGACAAAGCUGACAGAGAAGGAGCUGGAGAGGUUUCGGUGGAUGCUGGGUCUGACGCAUAUGAUUGCAUGGAACCCGAUGGGAAGGAGUAGGGGUGUGGUGCUGUUUUGGAGGAGCGGGUUGGAUGUAGCCCUGAGAUCGUUUGGUAGA